rfam:Ochrobactrum anthropi ATCC 49188 chromosome 1, complete sequence.
CUUCAUCCACCUGUUGCGGUGAGAUGAAAUGGAUAUGCGUGUCGAUACCGCCCGCCGUGAGGAUCUUGCCUUCACCCGCGAUAAUCUCCGUACCGGGGCCGAUGAUGAUCGAAACGCCGGGCUGCGUAUCCGGAUUUCCGGCCUUUCCGAUCACCGCGAUACGCCCGUCGCGAAGCCCCACAUCGGCUUUAUAAAUACCGGUAUGAUCGAGGAUCAGAGCAUUGGUAAUGACUGUAUCCAUCGCACCGUCGGCGCGCGACAUCUGGCUUUGUCCCAUACCGUCGCGGAU